AAGCGGGGAUACCACCAUAAGACGAGAAGACCCCAUGGAGCUCCAGACACUAGUAAGCCUAUGCACCACACGACCUGGCCAAACAGGAGCGUAUUGUAGACCCUCUACUACUUGUCUUAGGUUGGGGCGACCAUGGAGAAAAAGUACCCGCCAUGUGGGAUGAGAAUACUAUUCUUACAACCCAGAGCUACAACUCUAAACAACAGAACUUCUGACCACAAGCAAAGAUAUUGAUCCGGCUUCGGCCGAUUAACGGACCAAGUUACCCUGGGGAUAACAGCGCAAUCCUCUCCAAGAGCCCCUAUCGACGAGAGGGUUUACGACCUCGAUGUUGGAUCAGGACAUCCUAGUGGCGCAACCGCUGUUAAGGGUUCGUUUGUUCAACGAUUAAAGUCCUACGUGAUCU
rnacentral:rRNA from 1 species